GCCCGGGUGGCGGAAUUGGCAGACGCAGUAGACUCAAAAUCUACCGCCGCAAGGCUUGCGGGUUCGACCCCCGCCCCGGGCA
rnacentral:tRNA from 1 species